rnacentral:misc_RNA from 1 species
UUAAUCUUAAUCUCUUCUCUGUGUGAUUUCCUUGGCAAUUUAAAAGAGGGGGCAUUUCAUGACGUAUAUCUCAUGUUGAUGGUCCAAUAAUGUCUAUUGUAUUUUUUUUAAGGCAUUAUAAUCCCCAAAGCAAUUCCAGUUAGCACUUUUGGAUGAUGACCUGUGAUGGUAUAGCUUACAAAUGAACUAGCCUUGCAUUAUUCAAAACGAUAUCCUAGAUGAAGCUAGAGUUGGACCAAAUGUAAAUAGAGUAUCUUAGAUGUCAAAGAUUCUCAAUUAAGAAAUUUUGUUAAAGUAAGUGUAUGCUGUUACUGCAAAACCGUGUAGCUUUCUUUCCCUCCUCUUUUUUGUCGAGUUUAACUAAUGGUUUCUUCAUUUGGUGGUCUUUGUAGGGUGGUUAUCCUACUAAUUAUUCUCCUUUUGAUUGUUUAUUAUGUAUUUUAUUUGAGUGAAGGAGGAAGCAUUCUGCUAAGUGUGCUCAAUUUCUUUUUCUUUCUUUACAAAAUGUAUUUUAUUAUAAAAAAGAACAAGAUGUCAUUAGAUUUAGAGCUUAAUCUUUUUAGAGUUUUUUUUUACCUCUUGCCUGUCUUAUGUUUGUGGGUUCAAUAUGUGCUGGUUGCUCUGUUGUAUUAUGAUGAUUUCACCUUUUAUUUGGGUUUAUCAUCCUGUGAUGUCAUCAUGCUUUGCAUGUCACUUUCAUUUCAUUUUUCUUUUUAUUGAAUAGAUCCACAAUGGAGCCACUUUUG